rnacentral:rRNA from 1 species
CAUGCCAAUGGCACUGCCCGGUAGCUAAAUGCGGAAGAGAUAAGUGCUGAAAGCAUCUAAGCACGAAACUUGCCCCGAGAUGAGUUCUCCCUGACCCUUUAAGGGUCCUGAAGGAACGUUGAAGACGACGACGUUGAUAGGCCGGGUGUGUAAGCGCAGCGAUGCGUUGAGCUAACCGGUACUAAUGAACCGUGAGGCUUAACCUUACAACGCCGAAG